GCCCGAGUGGCUCAGUCGGUUGAGCGUCCGACUUCGGCUCAGGUCAUGAUCUCACGGUUUGUGAGUUCGAGCCCCGCAUCGGGCU
rnacentral:tRNA from 1 species